rnacentral:lncRNA from 1 species
AGAGAAAUGGAAUGAAAAAUCUUCAAAGCUGGAAGGACAAAGGGAGUUUCCUGUUCUAGGAUGUGAUGUGAAGGGAAAUUAGAAGAUGGACUGUCCUGAAGCAUAGACAUGACCCUCUCCAACUCAUCAUCUGAGAUCAGCUGUCCUGGUAGGAACCCCUCCAGCCAACCCUUCCUCAAGUUAUAUACUUCUAUCUACUGGAAAAUUGACAUUCAAUGCAUUUUCCCAAGUCUCAUGGAAGGGUUUCACAGCUUAGAGCUCAGCCUCAGAGUGGACUAGCACACAGCUGUUUCGGAGACUGGAGGAUAGCCUGCUGGGAUAGAGGUUUCCCUGGAAGAUACAGAGCUGUGAGCCAAUCCCAGGCAAUUCUGCAGAGCAUCCCAUCUGAUCCCACACAUUUGAGAAUGGAUGGACUAACCUGAAGUAUUACAGAGCAGCAGUGCAGAAGUGGGGACA